CACGGGACGCAUCACAGGACACUGUGACAUCUUCAUUAUUUGCGGACAGAGCCACCACUGGUGCUGACAUCAACAUUUCCUUUGGCUUUUUAAAGCCCUCUUCAAUCUGAGUAUACCACACAACCCUCUGGUUCUUCUUGAUCCAUCUGGCCAUAGGAGCGGCAACUAUAGAGAAGUUCUAGAUGAACCUCCAUUAGGUAACCUGCCCAACCCAAAAAGCUCUUGAUCUUAGUCAUUACCAUGGGCCUGGGCUGGUCGACUAUAACUUCAACUUUCUCAGGUCUACUUCACUUUCCUUUCUCUGACACACAUGACCCAAGAAGGAUAUGCUCCUUGACCAGAACUCACAUUGGAGAACUAGGCAUCCAAGCCAUGUUCUCUCAGGAUCUGCAAUCCUGAUUUCAGAUGAUGGGCAUACUCUCCUGCAUUUCUGGAACUCGCCGAGAUACCGUCAAUGAAGACAAUAACGGAGUGAUCCAGAAAUCGACUAAAACUCUGCUUAUGAGAUCCAUGAAUGAUGUAGGGGCGUUCAUUAACCCGAACGACAUUCCAAGGAACUCAUAGUGCCCAUAUCUGAUUCUAAACACUGCUCUCUGUACAUCUUCUUCCUUGAUCUUAACUGAUGGUACCUGGACUUCAGAUCUAUCUUGGAAAGGCAACUAGCUCCCGCUAGCUGGCUUAAAAUAGAUCGUCGAUCCAAGGUAACAAACAUUUAUUCUGGGUAGUGACCUUGCUCAACGGCUUGUAGUCGAUACAAAGUCCUAGGGAUCCAUCCUUCAUCCUCAUAAUACUACUGGAACACCCCAAGGUGGAGUGCUCAGUCAGAUGGGAAUCCUUAACUACCAACUCUCACAAUUGAUCCUUAUAACUCUUUAAACUCUGUUGAUACCAUCCUGUGGGGAGGGAUAGAGGUUGGUCCAAUUCCAUGCAUUACUUCUAUUUUUAAACUCUAUCUCCCUGACAGGUGGUAGUCCUGGGAACUCAUCUGGGGAAACCUCUAAAACUCUCUCUAACAACGGGCACUGAGGCGGGCUCCCUGACCUGACUGCUAUACUCUCUCUGAAGAGCUAGAACCCCUGACAACUUUUCCUGAACAACCUACGAGCCUAUAGGGUUGAUACUGAACCUCUAGGUAUCCCUAUUCUGUCCCCUCUAAGGACUACCUCUGAUCCAUCCUGAACUCUGAACCUGACUACCCUGUCUCUGCAGACUAGGUAGUACCACUAGUAGAAGAACCAAUCCAACCCUAGAAUGACGUCAAACAGUCAAAUCUAGAACCGCUAGGUCAGCUGGAAGGCAUCUACUCACAACACAUACUCUGACUAUACCGGCAGACUGACUCUGCC
rnacentral:lncRNA from 1 species